rnacentral:tRNA from 1 species
GACUAAUUAAAAAGUUUUGAUUUGAAAUCAAAUACCAAAGCGAGUAUGAGUGCUUAUUAGUCU